AGACCCGAAACCCGGUGAUCUAGCCAUGGGCAGGUUGAAGGUUGGGUAACACUAACUGGAGGACCGAACCGACUAAUGUUGAAAAAUUAGCGGAUGACCUGUGGCUGGGGGUGAAAGGCCAAUCAAACCGGGAGAUAGCUGGUUCUCCCCGAAAGCUAUUUAGGUAGCGCCUCGUGAAUUCAUCUCCGGGGGUAGAGCACUGUUUCGGCUAGGGGGCCAUCCCGGCUUACCAACCCGAUGCAAACUGCGAAUACCGGAGAAUGUUAUCACGGGAGACACACGGCGGGUGCUAACGUCCGUCGUGAAGAGGGAAACAACCCAGACCGCCAGCUAAGGUCCCAAAGUCAUGGUUAAGUGGGAAACGAUGUGGGAAGGCCCAGACAGCCAGGAUGUUGGCUUAGAAGCAGCCAUCAUUUAAAGAAAGCGUAAUAGCUCACUGGUCGAGUCGGCCUGCGCGGAAGAUGUAACGGGGCUAAACCAUGCACCGAAGCUGCGGCAGCGAACGUAUCACCCAAGACAACUUUACGGAGUUGACGAUUGACGGAGCGAAGCGACGUCAAAGCGUUCAUUAAAGUCGAGUUGGCUUAGGGAUACGUUCGUUGGGUAGGGGAGCGUUCUGUAAGCCUGUGAAGGUGUGUCGUGAGGCAUGCUGGAGGUAUCAGAAGUGCGAAUGCUGACAUAAGUAACGAUAAAGCGGGUGAAAAGCCCGCUCGCCGGAAGACCAAGGGUUCCUGUCCAACGUUAAUCGGGGCAGGGUGAGUCGACCCCUAAGGCGAGGCCGAAAGGCGUAGUCGAUGGGAAACGGGUUAAUAUUCCCGUACUUGGUGUUACUGCGAAGGGGGGACGGAGAAGGCUAUGUUGGCCGGGCGACGGUUGUCCCGGUUUAAGCGUGUAGGUGUGUGUUCCAGGUAAAUCCGGUUCACUUUAACACUGAGGCGUGACGACGAGGCACUACGGUGCUGAAGCAACAAAUGCCCUGCUUCCAGGAAAAGCCUCUAAGCAUCAGGUAACAUCAAAUCGUACCCCAAACCGACACAGGUGGUCAGGUAGAGAAUACCAAGGCGCUUGAGAGAACUCGGGUGAAGGAACUAGGCAAAAUGGUGCCGUAACUUCGGGAGAAGGCACGCUGACACGUAGGUGAAGUGAUUUACUCAUGGAGCUGAAGUCAGUCGAAGAUACCAGCUGGCUGCAACUGUUUAUUAAAAACACAGCACUGUGCAAACACGAAAGUGGACGUAUACGGUGUGACGCCUGCCCGGUGCCGGAAGGUUAAUUGAUGGGGUCAGCGCAAGCGAAGCUCCUGAUCGAAGCCCCGGUAAACGGCGGCCGUAACUAUAACGGUCCUAAGGUAGCGAAAUUCCUUGUCGGGUAAGUUCCGACCUGCACGAAUGGCGUAAUGAUGGCCAGGCUGUCUCCACCCGAGACUCAGUGAAAUUGAACUCGCUGUGAAGAUGCAGUGUACCCGCGGCAAGACG
rnacentral:rRNA from 1 species